UGUAAAGAAGCACUUUCAAUUGUUAAUGUUGCUGAACACGUCAAACGUUCCUGACUUAUUGUAUUUCACAAAUAAUUUUUAACUUGUUUCAAUACAGAAAAAGAAUAUUCGCCAGAAGCAUUUGUGACAGCACCCAAAACUGAACUAGUCACUUGAGCAGAAAACAUGCCAAAUAACAGCCCAGUGCUCCCAAUUCUUCUCUGUAUACAAGUCUCCUUUCUUGGUAUUUAUACCUUUUGGGCCAGAUCAGGACAAAGAUUUGCCUGAUGCUAUGCAGUUGAUAAGAACUGUAUCUUUGAGGGUCUGGUCUGCUCAUGAACAGACCCUGUGUAAGAUGAGGCAAGUAACAAACCAUUAGUGUUCCCUGUUCAGUUUCAUUGUUUCAGAGAUAAUGUUUGUCCCUUAGUUGAGAUGCCAUCCUUGUAGCUUCUUCUAAGUUGUUUUCUACCAACUUCCCAUGUACCUUAUACUGAUUCAAUAAGCCUUUUAUGUACUCCUAAAAUAUUUUAGUAACCAGUGGCUGGUGAGGGUGGUUUGUUAGUUUAGAGAUAAAGCAGCGUGCAGUUUGUUUGCAUGUCAGAGAGGUAGGCAAAACCUUGAGGAACAUGGUGGGGUAGGGAGUAAAAGCAGUCCCUAAAUCAGUGGUUCUCAAACCUUUUUUUUUGCAGACCACUUGAAAAUUGCUGAGGAUCUCAAUGGACCAUUUAAUAAACUUUUUUUUUUGUUCUACAAAUCAAAGCACACAACUCAUAUUUUAAUAUAAGUAGUCUUACCUUACAAGUACAGAUAUUCUCAAUUGUUCUGCAACCUUUCUACAGACCACCUGAAUGGAGCUCGCGGACCAGUGGUGGUCUGUGGACCACAGUUUCAGAACCUCUGCUGUAGAGUGUAGGUUAGCAAUUGUAUUUGCUUCCUUGAAGGCAAUUCUUCUAUGUGAGGUAUGUCACAGACCAGCUGGGCACUGUGAGUGUAUCAAUUUUAUCACAGGCCAACUGGGCUGUUUGAUUCAGUUUCGGAUCGAGGAGGCAAAGUUGGGAGUGAAGUAAAGGCAAAUUUAUUAUAGCUUACACACACACAACAAUUAACAGAAAGAUAAAUGCGAUAAGCAGAUAAUGCAGUAUUAAAGAGCUAAUAGUAAAUAACAGAUAAUAACAACAGAUAGAUAGAUCAAUUCUGUUGCAGGCCAACUGGGCACUGUGAGGGUAUUAGACACUGGGCUGUUCAAAACAACAGAUAGACAGACAUGGGUUGGCAACUUAUCGAAAGUCCCUCAAUGCCAGGUAUGCGCCAAGUGAUUCCAGUGAAGUCAGGUGUCCCCAAUUAACACUAUCGGAGGGAUUACCAGGGAAGCUCGCUUGAUCAGGAUCCGAUCCUCACUCACACCGGAAGUCCGGGGUCCAGGCAUGGAACAGAAAUGACCAUUCUGUUCCCUCCUUCUUGCUGGUUACCUAAUGCACAUGCUUUUUAUAUCUAGUCUUAUGCUAGUCUGUUGGCUUUAGAGCCACUCACAAUGUUGCCCUAUAGCUGUUACCCUAUGGGAUUGAAAGGUGUUAAAAAUUAUCAUAAAAGGUUACUACCCAAACUCGGGUUUAUCCAAUAAGCAAAUUAUAAUGCAGCAUCUUUAGGUUUGAAAUUGACAUUGCUCCGCCUAAGCCCCAACCCCUUCUAGGUUUCAUUUGAAUAUGCUUUCUUGGGAUGUGCUUUCCUGGAAUAUGUUGGGUGUGCCAGGCAGUUGGAUCCAGUUUUUUAUCGUUAAAGCUGAACCCUGAGCAGAAACCGUUAGGUCAGCUAAUCUUGCAUCUACAGCUUUGCCUAUGGGGCCCAGUCAGUUUCACGAACAGUUAAUUUUAUCAUUUUGGUUAAACUUAUGACAGACAAGUUACAUUUGUGGUUUACAAACUUACAAGCUUUAUUUUAGCUAAUAUUACCUGUUCAUGUAAAAUACCAAAUGCCUCUAAGAAGCAUAUAUUUAUUGCUUAUUAAUCCCUCUGGUUCUGGCCUUGCAGAGGUACAGUUGCUCACUUAUGGGGGGCAGGAAGUAGAAAAAGGUCCAUUUAUUAAGGCUAAAUUCUGAGCUUGCAGAUGGGGGUGUUGGUUAUAGCUUAUAGUCUAAUAAAAGAUAGCACACUUAUCCAAAGAGCCUUGCCUGCCUCCGAGCUUGAAGGUGUGCAGUGAUGUUCUUCACUAGAAUAGUUCCACUGUGUGUUCUGGAUGCCCUUAUGAGUAUAGCUACCUAAUUUUGAAUAAAGAACAAGGUAGCUCUGUCCCAUAAGGUUAAAGCCAUAACAGAGUAUUCUCUUUACCUUAAAUUCUAUGUUAUAUCCCCUGAAGACAUUAGGUAAUUUCAUAGUGAAAUAAUGUAUUUUUUCAAUGAUUGCUCAGACAUUUAGGGGUUAAUGUCCUGUGCCUCUUGCUUUUAUUUGUGCCUCAUUUUUUCUACACUAUACAUUCCUUAAACAGAGUAUUUUUACUGCUGCAAUUCUAAAUUUUGUACUGAAAAAAUAUUGUGAAAAUUACUUUUCAUCACAGGAAUGCAAUACCUGGUAUUUGAAAAAAGGGCUACUGAAUAACUCUCAAAUGGUGCUGAGAUAAUAACACAUUUCUUGGUGUGCAAUGCAUGCAGUAAACACAUGUAUAUGAAAAAGUUUUCCCUCUCUUGAAUCAUCCAUGGUGCAGUCAUCCUUGUCAGUAUAUGGUAUAGAGGUAGACACUUGGCAAGGCUGCCAGCUUACACCUGCCCCAGUAUAACAGCAUCCAGGGUCAGCUCAGGAAAAAGAAAAUAACAAGGGUAGAACAAAGUAUAGGUUAUUAUUAAUAAUAACAAAAGUAAAUCUAAUGAGUCAAAAGAAAGAAUUUAGUUGGCUGAGGUCUCCUCCACAGAGCUGAUAGGUGGGGAAGGGGUUGAACAGGGUUAGAUGUCCAAUUAGAAUUAUAUUGAUAAGUACCAUUCAGGGUUUUCUUGGUCCUCCAGCAUGUGGCCAAGCUUUUGUGUAGUGAUGAGAUUCUGGCUUUCUGUCAAUUCUGAAAAUCCAUGUCAGUGCCAGAUUCCCCAUCUUUGAGAUCCUCAGAUGUCUUGGUGGUGUAUGCUACAAACCACUGCUCAGUGCUUAUGGCCCACUACAAAAUCAUGGGCAGCUCCCAAGGACAGGUGACAUGAGAAUUGCUGAAGGUCCAGGUCUUAUCUUUUACUUUCUUGUAAGAAGAUUUCUGAUUGUUGUUUUUUAUUUGCCAUAAAAUAUUUGUUAUAUUUGUUUAUUUGUUGUAUUUUAUUUCACAUUGCCUCCUGAUAGUGACCUUGUUCAGCCAUCCCCUUACCAUUGACUUAAGAAAAUAUCCUUGCUGAGAUAUUGUAUAUCAUCUGGCAGGUUUCCUGAAUCUUUACCUUUCCCCAGAUGGCAAGGAGAUUCAGUGCCUCUGCACUGUGCCUCUGCAGGUUUCACACUGGUAUACAAGACACUGAACCAGGAAGAGUGCAGUAAUACUAGCUGUAGUUCAUGGAUGCUGAAUCCAGAAAAAUGCAACUGGAGAAAAUGUAUUGAUCUUGACUAUGCACCAGCAUUAAAAAGGGUGGUGGCAUCCAGUCACCAUGGCCCAAAACAGAAAAGAGGUGAGUCCUGGCAGAAUGACUGAUGGAGGACUUCUACAAUAGCAGGCAGUACAGGUUUCCUUUGCUUUAUGCUGUACAUGCAUUCCUGGAAAACGGCGCAUAACUUGAAUUUGCAUAAAGGGAACCCACUUUAUAAUGUAACAAAUAGGGAUACGUUCUAAGACCUCGACUGUACUCACCUCCAUACCCAUUUCUACCACUUUUACAAGACAAUCUUGGUACUCACCAACACAAGCACAGGGCACUAUCAUAAUGGGGAUGGCAACUACAGAAACACGUCACAGACAAUGACCGAGGAGCACAGAUCCACAAGGAGACUAUAUUUUGGUGCGUGUCAGUCCCACAAUGCACCACACCAAGCAGCUGACUGUGGCCUUCCACCACACCAAUCACAUGAGAGUGAAUUUACCUUGCAUAUAAUGAAUUUUUGGUAUAAAAAGGGUCAUCGAAUUCGCACAUACAGAACCCGCAUAAAAUGAGGGAAACCUGUACAGAUGUAUCCACACAAACAUUAGUGCCUAUUAACUUCAUAUGCAGUGAAGUCACUCCAGUUUCAAAAAGAUUUGUAGAAUAUACAUUACCCGACCUGUUAAAAUGUACUCAGAAUUGCAUCAUGUGAACACCACUCAUUCCAAAUCAUGGAAGCUGAGCUCAGUGCAAAUAAAUAGUCCCCCUCACCAACCUUGUAGACAAGCCUUUACUGUACCUGAGUGUCUGAAACCAGCUCAUGGCAGUUCCGCUCCUGAAUCCUAGCACUUUUACAAAGAACUGCAAAUGCAAAAGACAGAAAGUCCUUCUGGAAAAGUACCAAGCAUGAACUGUUAGGAUUCCAACAAAGGAGUGCAACUCCGGCAAUCAAACCUUCUUUUCUUUUAAUCAGAAAUGAGAAAUGAAAUUCAAUUUUGGAAAAUUGUUUUUUCAUUAAAAACUAUAGCUGUCUGUGUUCUGAAAAACCCUGGAGGUCUAAAGAUGAUAUCAGUAUAUAAAUAUUCAGUGCUUCCUGCAUUUUUUUCCAGAACAGGCUUUUUCUCCCUGUUUCAAUCUCUUUGACCUUUAGAAAACAGUCAUUAUUUGUAGCUUGAUUUUUUCAAGAUGUUCUCCAGUACAUAUAGAUGGCAGCGAAUUCAAUUUAAAAGUCAACUCAUGAAAUGCAAUAUAAUAGUCAGAAGAUAGCAUUGCUUUAGGCGUCAUUUUUAUUAAGUGAACAGCCAUUCAAAGUAUUUUACCUUAGAGCAUAUUAUAUUCUAUUCAAAGGAGUUUGUUUCCUUCAACUCAGCAACCAAAGCAUUUUGCAAGAGAUAUGAUAUUUGUACUAUCCACAGGCAUAUGGCUAAAAUGUACAGUUCACAGCUGUAUUUGAGAUGAGUCUUCUUCCUUGCUCUUACAAAGCAUGGUAUAAAGGACUGAUAUAGUCAAAGCUCUUAUUUUUUUCUUAAAGGGAGCAACACUUCAAUAAUUUUCCACAGAACAGCUGCAAAAAUACCUACAAUCUAGCAUCUGGAAUUCUUAAAAGUGACUUGUGGAUUUGUGGCUAAUGAAACAUUGCUAAAUAACACUCACCAUGUUGUAAAAUAAUACCCUUAACGGUUUAUUAGCUUCUUGGAGGACAAAGCUGAAAGGUGCCCCAAGCAUGUUAUUCUGCUGUAAUUAUAAAAAACAUAAAGUUAGAAAGAAACAGUAUGAGCCCUUGAAUGUUUUCCAGUAGAACUUGAUGUGGAGACACCCCUGUGUAACCUCAAAAGAGGAUUAAAGAUUUUGUGGUAUUAAAAAACAUAUUAUAAUAACUGGAGGCUGCAGGCCUGCUUAUGAACCCCUCACUGGUGAAUAUCAAUGAAGUUCCCCUUGAUUUACACGAAAACGCCAAAAUCUACCCCUAAUGUUUUGCCUAAUUCCAAAUUUUCAAGACAAAAAUUUGCUACUAAAAAAGUUGGUCAUUUCACUGAGGGGAGUAGUAAUUGGUUACUAGCUGGGAGUAGUAUGCCUGAAGGGAGAAGGGUGGGGAAAGAACAAGUAGUGUAGGAACACAGCAAGGCACCGGAGUACAGGGGCAGGAGCUGCUUUUCUUUGCCCCCCGCUAAGUCAGCACCGGGAGUGGUUGCCCCAUCCGCCCCACCCUAGUUAUGUCACUGGGAAGAACUAGUCCAUCCAAGGGCUCAGGGCCAUACACACACAUAAAUAUAUGUAUAAGUUCUAGGUAGUGUUGGAAUGAUGUUGUAGCCAUGAUGAUCCAGGAAAUAUGCAAGUGGCAUAUUUUUUUUGCAUGAUAUCUUUUACUGGACCAACUGCAUGCUUGAAACAGACUGACGAGUUUUGAAAUGCAGUGCCAUUCUUCUUCCAUCACUGUUACAAGACAGGACAUGGCAAAAUAGUAUCUCUGAUCCAAUUUUCAAAUAAAUAAUUAUCUCAUGACAAAAACAUUGUGGAAGAAAGUAUUUUUUUCUUUAUAAACAAUAAAAUACUCUGAUAAGCUUGCUUCCCUAAAAUAAGGUCUUAGGAUUUGCAUUUUAUUACCAAAUAAGGACCAGCUGUCCUAGUCAAUAUUUGUUUCUGUGCGUUUCAGCCUGGGAGUUCGAGGGCAAAAAUGUAGGAUCUGAAGAUGACCUGGGAUAACAGCAUAUUAGCACUUAGCGGUACCAGGUAGAGCAGCUCAAGGAAGCUGCAGAUGCAAUGUCUGAACAUCUAUUAGAGAAUUAGUGCAGCAGAUUCUGAUGCCACUACAAUGGACUGUUGUAACAAUUGCAGAACAGCUGUCCUAAUACUCUUACCUGCUGCCAGUAUGAGAAGAGCCACAACUACAUGUUCUUUUUCUCCCCCAAAAUCAUGUACAUGCUAUGGCUUGGUCUGUAGCUUUGGCUAGGUCCUUAAUAUUACACAUCUCUUCCAGGAGUGCAUAGGCUAAUACAGGGGUGGGCAAAAGACGGCCUGUGGGCCAGAUGUGGCCUGCCAGGCCAUUCAAUCCGGCCUGCAGGGCCCCUAAAAAAUUUAGAAAAUUAAUAUUUAUCUGCCCCUGGCUGCCUGUCUUGUGGCCCUCGAUGGCUUGCCAAAACUCAGUAAGCGGCCUUCCGUCCGCAAUAAUUGCCUGCCCCUGGGCUAAUAGAUUCUCCAUGGUCUGUGUUUCCCCAUGUUCACAUGUAUCUAUGUCAUUACAGUACCUCUCUUUCCAUAUGUUUCUUUUGCCCUGCCAACUCUUGUUUAGAGGCAAUUCAAAAUUCUCCACAUUGGCCAACCUGUUCACACACCUGCAAAUAGGUAUUCAGCAACAUCAAUGUUUAUUUGCAAACUGUCAUUGAUGCAGUUGCACUGAUUGCAUCACUAUUUCCAUUCAUGCAGCUGUUUCUUAAGUUUCUUAAGUGGUGAAAAAGGUUUUUUUGUGACUUAAGUCAGUGAGUAGCCAUAAGCUGUUUAUGUAUUAGGCGCCUUGUAUCUUUAACCUGUUGUGUGCAUUCUUUCUUGUUUGCAACUGCUCUCAUAAUAUCUGUAUAGCAAGUAUGUACAGACUGUUCACAUUAGUUUGUCUCAAGCAUUUCAUAAUGUAUCAGCAACUCAUAUUCAGUGCAGGGGGAAGUCAUUCUGCUUAGUCCCUUUGAACAUUGUGGAUUCAAAGUACCAGCUGUCUUUAAUGUAGUUACAUUAACAUUUCACUUAGGAGAGGCUAGUACUUCUCAGACUCAGACUUACAGAAAGCUGUUUAUUUGACAAUGUAAGCCCAUUUCUGUUCUUCAUUUAUCUGCAAGCAAAUUUUGGAUUUUGACAUAUUUGUUCAUAAUUCAGUGAACAGCUUAUACAAAUACAUUUCAAUCAAUGGGUGCUCAUAACGCUACAUGGUGAUUUCACCUUAUAAUGUCCACUGUUUGUGGUUCGCAGUUUACAUGGUGAUUGUUUCCAUGGUGCUGUUUCAGCUGUCUGGAUGGUCCCUAUGCUCCAGAGUUUUCAGAAUGGCCACCUAAAAUUUACUGGUACAAAUACUCAGGCAUAUAUACCAGCAUGGGUAUUUCCCAUACCUUUCCUCCUUGCAAACAUCUUUGUGAACAACAUUUCUAUUGUGACCCUUUUGGGAAAGUAAACAAAAGGAGCCACGAGAAAAUCAGAACUAAUGUCUUGUUUUUACGCAAGUAUUUUUGUUUGCAUUGUUUCCCAAGUUUUGGAUAGUGUUGCCAAAAAAUGAGAGCAAGUAGCUGGCAGAGAGAAAGAGAAAAAUAGAGGUAGUAAUAGUGUAGGGACGAGACAGGGAAUUAAAUAUAGAAAGAAUACAAUAAAUGGGAGGAGGUGAAAUAAAGAAAAAUAUGGAAGAAAAAUUAAUAUGGCAUGUAUACGCCACUCACUUGGGUUACUUGAGCUUUAGCUAAAUAUGUUCUUAAAAAUGGAAACAUUCUUAUGAGCAUUCUGCAAAUGGAGUAAAUAAGUAAAGGGAAUGCAAUUGUUGCAAUAUGUAUAUAUUGAAUUUUAAUAGAGCACUUUUAUAUUCAUUCCUGUCCUCCAAAUUAAUUUGUAUUGUCUUGGGCAUGGACACUGUCAUAUGGCAUAAAAACUGACUAGAGGACAGUAAACCUGGGACAAUAUAACCUGCAAUGUGUAGAAUUGCAGAGGGGAUGUGCAUGCAUCUAAUAAGCUACUACAGGAACUGGUGUUGAUAAGUUAUGAUUUACAAUGCGACAGUAUGGUAUAUCAGGAGAUAGAGGGGUGAAAUUCUAUCAGGAAAAAUUUGGGAUGAAUAUAGAAAAUGUUUCCAAACAGGAUGAUCCAAUAAAAACUGUAGAAUGAGUUUUCAAGGGAAGGUCCCAGAACUUAUUACUAAAGACUUUUACAAAUAGGCAGAACAAACCACUAGGAAACUUACUGAAAGAAAUAGUCUUGUAUUAGAAAGGAGCACAAUACCAAAUAAAUCCUUUCCUUUAAUUUCUAUGGAUGUCAUUGUGUUAUUAGUUGCAACUCCAGUCUGGUAUACUGAAAGGCAGGGUGACUUUAAUAAGUACUUUGGGAGUUCUGUAAAAUUCAGGUCACCAUGUUAUCACCCUGUUACAGACUGUGCCCUAGCACAGGUGUUGUCCCUCGAUAUCAGGCUAGCUUAUCUUUCCAUUUCCUGACAUUUUGCAUUUCCUGACAUUCUCUUCUGACCCCACCCAGACCCUACAGAGAAGCUGGAGAGGAGCAGUUGCCUCCAGAGGGUACACAGACUACAACUGAAUUCAGUUGCCGGGAAGGGCUGCGGAUGACAAAUACAUAUUAUUUAUAAUGGCAAUAAAUAGAACAGGUUCAUUUGUGUCCUAUCUGAUUAUGGCCAGUAUUUAUGACGAUUAUGAUGUGUAUUCCAAGUUCUGAAUACAAUACUUGCACUGAAAAGAUGACCUCAGCCACAGUAUUUUCUUGUGGUGCUGCUGGGAUGCCCAAGCUCAAUCUUUUCACAUCGGGGGGACAGAUUGAUGGCAGCAGUGUUUUUGCCUUAUUCUUGAAUCUCUGAAAUUUAAAUUCCUUUAGUGCAGAAAGAGUCUAUAUUUGCAAAACUUAAUUGGUGACUUGGAUGACUCAUAGUUUGGAUGUUCAACUAGAGAAAUGUAUAAGAAAUGGAUUUUCAAAGGCUGGAUGCUCAGGACUUUCUGAAAAUCAGGUCCUUUUGAGAUCCAUCAGGUUGGAUAUCCAAAGAAGGAAGGUACCCCAAAUUAUUUAUUUAUUUUACUUAAAAACAAAGAUCUGGUUCUUCUGUUUUAACACAUAGACACUAUAGUAAUGAGUACAGUAAAGGAACCUACAUAAGACAUUCAAUUUAUUUAGUGUAUAUGGUUUUGGCAUAUUGUUUCAGUCAUCUUAAGGCGAUGUCAUCACCAGUAUAAAGAGCUUGACGGCCACCAAGUACUAGGUAGUAUAGUAAAUGGACACAAGUCAACCAUGUGGGACAUAGUUUGAACUUGUCCACCAGGGCAUUUGUUGUCAUUGUGAAGGCCUCAUUGGUAUGCGUUUUAGGUGCAAUGACUCUGUCCAGUUCAAAAAUGGUUAAGAAGUGUCCAAUAAAGGCAUGGCCAGAUAAAUCCUUGUUGACUGACUGUAGGGUCAGAGAUGAUGUAGUAACUGAUUGAAAGAAUCACAUAAAAAAGGAUCACAUAAACUGAUUCGUCAUUCUUAAAUUCUAGCCCUUUGUUUUAGGCAGAAUAGAAACAAAGAGAAAGGUGUAUUUAGGUGGAAUUUAGAUGUAAUACUAGCUACAAGUGCUCUCAGCUAUCUUAAUUCAAUUUCAGGUGGACAAUAAAACCUCACUUGAUUCAUUUCUUUUCCUCCCUAUACCAGGAGAAUUACCAAACUAAAUCUAAAGGAAGUUGUCUUUUUUUUAGAUUGUGAGACAUUGCUGAACCCACAAAAGUUUGCAAUAAUUUAAUUAAAACUAGUUUUUAAAUACAUUUAAUUAAAACAGUACAAAUCCUGAUGCAAACACACAUAACUUGAUUUAUAUGUUAGUAUUAAUUUAUUUUAAUUUGAUAAUCUAGUCCUUCAAGAAUUUCUAAAAUACUUGAACCAUGCUUAGUGUACUAUUUAGUCUAUUCACUUUUUGUUUGCAUUCAGUUUAGUACAAUAUGGGCACAUCUACAUGUUGUCGUACAGCGAUAGAUGAUUACUGUGCCAUGUGUGUGGCUCAUGGUUAGAUUUUGCUGCUACUGGUCAUAGCUGCACACUACACGAGGGGAGUGUGACACCACAGUGACAUAGCUGGAGAUCACGUAUAGACUCUGGUGAUUGCUACGUCGCUGUAGUGUGCUGUAUGGUGAUGUGUAGACAGACAUGUCCUAAAAGAAUGAAACUCUUUAAGAAGGCGUGAUAAACAAGUAUGACACUGUUCUAUAGCAGGUCAAAUCAAUAAAGGCUUCACACUUUUUUGAUGACUUGAAUCCAGCUGUGCUGAAAGAGACACUCAGAAGCCUAUCCAAAGUUUCUUUCCUAACUCAAAUUUAAGUUGAAUUGAUUUUACACUAGUUUAAAGAAACUGAUUUAAAAGCCAAAUUAAACCUAUGCAACAUCUGUAUGUAAAAAAAAAAAAAAGCUUUGGACAAAUAUUGUUAAGAUUUCAACAUGGAAACAGGUGCCUUAAAUUUCUAAUAUAAUAGUUGAUUUCCAGGAAAGAGAGCAAUAA